UAACCGGCGAUUUCCGAAUGGGGAAACCCAGUGUGAUUCGUCACACUAUCAUUAACUGAAUCCAUAGGUUAAUGAGGCGAACCGGGGGAACUGAAACAUCUAAGUACCCCGAGGAAAAGAAAUCAACCGAGAUUCCCCCAGUAGCGGCGAGCGAACGGGGAGCAGCCCAGAGCCUGAAUCAGUGUGUGUGUUAGUGGAAGCGUCUGGAAAGGCGCGCGAUACAGGGUGACAGCCCCGUACACAAAAAUGCACAUGCUGUGAGCUCGAUGAGUAGGGCGGGACACGUGGUAUCCUGUCUGAAUAUGGGGGGACCAUCCUCCAAGGCUAAAUACUCCUGACUGACCGAUAGUGAACCAGUACCGUGAGGGAAAGGCGAAAAGAACCCCGGCGAGGGGAGUGAAAAAGAACCUGAAACCGUGUACGUACAAGCAGUGGGAGCACGCUUAGGCGUGUGACUGCGUACCUUUUGUAUAAUGGGUCAGCGACUUAUAUUCUGUAGCAAGGUUAACCGAAUAGGGGAGCCGAAGGGAAACCGAGUCUUAACUGGGCGUUAAGUUGCAGGGUAUAGACCCGAAACCCGGUGAUCUAGCCAUGGGCAGGUUGAAGGUUGGGUAACACUAACUGGAGGACCGAACCGACUAAUGUUGAAAAAUUAGCGGAUGACUUGUGGCUGGGGGUGAAAGGCCAAUCAAACCGGGAGAUAGCUGGUUCUCCCCGAAAGCUAUUUAGGUAGCGCCUCGUGAAUUCAUCUCCGGGGGUAGAGCACUGUUUCGGCAAGGGGGUCAUCCCGACUUACCAACCCG
rnacentral:rRNA from 1 species